rnacentral:rRNA from 1 species
UACGUAGGGUGGCGAGCGUUGUCCGGAAUUAUUGGGCGUAAAGAGCUUGUAGGCGGUUUGUCGCGUCUGCUGUCGAAAAUCCGGGCUCAACCCGGACUUGCAGUGGGUACGGGCAGACUAGAGUGUGGUAGGGGAGACUGGAAUUCCUGGUGUAGCGGUGAAAUGCGCAGAUAUCAGGAGGAACACCGGUGGCGAAGGCGGGUCUCUGGGCAACAACUGACGCUGAGGAGCGAAAGCGUGGGGAGCGAACAGG